rnacentral:rRNA from 1 species
AGGCAAAUCUCCAAAAGACCGUCCCAGUUCGGAUUGCAGGCUGCAACCCGCCUGCAUGAAGUUGGAAUCGCUAGUAAUCGCGCAUCAGCCAUGGCGCGGUGAAUACGUUCCCGGGCCUUGUACACACCGCCCGUCAAGCCAUGGGAGCCGGGGGUGCCUGAAGUUCGUGACCGCAAGGAGCGACCUAGGGCAAAACCGGUGACUGGGGCUAAGUCGUAACAAGGUACC